rnacentral:rRNA from 13 species
CUGAAAUUCUUCAUAAUAUAAUAAAGACACAAAUUUUAAUGGAACAGAUAAUACAAGUCAAUUGAUAAAGAUGAUACAAGUCCCCCCUCCCC